ACGAACGCUGGCGGCGUGCCUAAUACAUGCAAGUCGAGCGGAAUGAUGAAGAAGCUUGCUUCUUCUGAUUUUAGCGGCGGACGGGUGAGUAACACGUGGGCAACCUACCUUGUAGAUUGGGAUAACUCCGGGAAACCGGGGCUAAUACCGAAUAAUCCAUUUUGCUUCAUGGCGAGAUGUUGAAAGACGGUUUCGGCUGUCACUACAAGAUGGGCCCGCGGCGCAUUAGCUAGUUGGUAAGGUAAUGGCUUACCAAGGCGACGAUGCGUAGCCGACCUGAGAGGGUGAUCGGCCACACUGGGACUGAGACACGGCCCAGACUCCUACGGGAGGCAGCAGUAGGGAAUCUUCCACAAUGGACGAAAGUCUGAUGGAGCAACGCCGCGUGAGUGAAGAAGGUUUUCGGAUCGUAAAACUCUGUUGUAAGGGAAGAACACGUACGAGAGUAACUGCUCGUACCUUGACGGUACCUUAUUAGAAAGCCACGGCUAACUACGUG
rnacentral:rRNA from 1 species